rnacentral:lncRNA from 1 species
CUCACUAAAAUUAUUUUCGGAUCAACGAUCCUUGUUGGGGUGAGCUAGAAAUAUUUUAAUCCAUCGAAAGGAGUUUCAAUGAUACUGUGAUAAAGAUCAUAGUAUAUCUCACUACCAGACAGAAUGAAACCUGAGGGGUCACACAUAAAAAGAGUUUAACCUGAUCAAUGAUUUAGAUCAAAUUUAAAUUAUCAAUUUAAUUGAUGGUUUGAAUUUGAAAAUUACUGAUUUAUAAAUAUUACAGAUUUACUAACUACUAAUUGUUGGCAC